GUGCUAUAGACGAUAAGGUUCAGGUGAACAAAUGACAUCCAAGCGUCAUACAGAGAGUACAACAUGUCAGCGAUUCUGUUGUCAGCCGUAAUUAGUGUUGUGGUCAUAAUAAUAUUUCAGCUGUUGAUCAAAUUACUGAGAGUGAAAUAUGCCUACCAUGGACUCCCUGAGCCUCUUGAGGACAAGCACUGGUUACUUGGUCAUCUCCCAAUUUUCUCAAAUAAGAUAGCUGGGCAGUCGGUCGUAGACAAGUUUCUGGAAUGGACGGCCAAAUAUCCCAGGAUGUACGUCCUUUGGUUUGGUCCCUUCGACGCCAGGGUGGUGCUGAAUCAUCCGGACCCCAUUAAAAAGAUCCUUAAAACCUCAGAUCCAAAACCUGUGAACUUUGGCCAGGUGUACAGACAUGGAAUUCCAUGGUUGGGAGAGGGACUUCUGAUAGCAGGGGGUGCCAAAUGGAAGCGCUCCAGACGUCUGCUUACUCCCGCCUUUCAUUUUGACAUCCUGAGACCUUAUGUGAAGAUCUACAAGUCCUGCGCAGAUAUUCUAGCGCGAAACAUAGAAAUCUCGGUCGAGAAGAACGAAAGUGUAGAAAUAUUCAGCCUUGUCAGUUCCUGCACCCUGGACAUUAUUUUACAGUGUGCGUUUUCCUAUAAGACGGACUGUCAAAAUUUCUGCGGGACCAUACACCCAUACAUAUCAGCCGUAAAUGAGAUUUCAGCUACAUGGAAUCGAAGAAAUAGGUAUCCGUCUCCUCUUUUACAUUACAAAUCUUAGGGCUCCCUGGCUACAUCCAGACUUUAUAUUUUACCGAACGGCAGAGGGGAAGAGUUUUAAAGCGAAGUGUGAUUACGUCCACCAAGUAGCUGAGGAUGUGAUAGACAAAAGACGCAACACAUUGGAAACGCAGGGUAUAUCUUCCCAAAAGUAUUUGGAUUUCUUGGACAUCCUUUUGACAGCUAAAGAUGAGAACGGAAAAGGAAUGUCAAAAGAAGACAUUCGUAGUGAAGUGGACACAUUCAUGUUUGAGGGUAUAGUGAACGUAACAGUCAAAACCUGUCAUAGAACACAGUGAUGAAAAAAAGUUCUAAGAUAUUUUAAAACGUAUACCAAAAGAAUUCCCAGUGUUUGAUUGGUUGAUUGUUUUAGGCCAUGACACUACAGCUAGCGCCAGCUCGUGGAUCCUCUAUUCUUUGGCGGAAAAUCCCGAAUGUCAGCGGAAAUGUCAGGAAGAAAUCGAUAAGGUCAUCAGUGAGACCAAAUCUGGACAACUCGAGUGGAAGGACCUGGGUAGACUGGAGUACCUGACACAGUGCAUCAAAGAAGGAAUGCGCCUCCACUCCCCUGUUCCUGGGAUUUUAAGGGACAUCCAGUCCCCCCUCAGAGAGGGGGACCACGAGAUCCCUGCCAGGACCAGUGUCUUGAUCAGUAUCAAUGGUCUCCAUCAUAACCCCACUGUGUGGGGGAAGGACCACGCCCAGUUUAAACCCGAGAGGUUCUCUCCAGAAAACACCGAGGAAAGAGACUCAUUCGCCUUCUGUCCAUUUUCUGCAGGUCCAAGGUAUACGUAUACAAUCAUGUUUAUGAUUUUUUCUUUCUAAAACUAUAUCAACAGUAGUUUUCUGCAGGUCCAAGGUAUACCUCUUUGUGCAUGUAUUUUUGUCUCUAACUACAUGAACAGUUGCUUUAAAACUGUUGUGAAAUGCUGUUUUUUGGUUGUAGAAACUGUAUCGGUCAAAAUUUUGCCAUGAGUGAAGAACGGACAGUGCUUGCUACAUUGCUUCAACGGUUUACCUUCUCUGUGGACAAAACACAUAAGGUUGAAAAGCAGAUCUCUGCCGUAAUGCGAGCAAGAUAUGGAAUCAAACUAUUCGCCACCCCACGAUAGGUGUCUAGGUGUGCAUUAUAGGAACGCAAUUUGAAAUAUUACGAAUUUUGAUCAUCUUCAGAGUGUGUUAAAUUUGGGACCAAGUCAACGCACUUAAUGCUUAUGACUCUGCAAAAAUAUUAGAUUUGGAUAAAAAAUUGGAGUUGUUGUUUCUACAUCUUUGUCUACGACUCUUUCAAUGUCCGAUGUACCAGAAUCUUGUACAAAGUUUACACUCUGCUAAUAUGCAAUUUAUCCUGUAAACGAUAAACAAUUCGUGUACAGAGAGUUAAAAAUGAGUCUUGUCUAGAUUUGAUUUGUCAAAAUAUUAAAAGUAUAUUAGAACAGAUGUUAAUUAAAUCAACAAAAAACAAAUCAGAAGACCAU
rnacentral:misc_RNA from 1 species